rnacentral:rRNA from 1 species
GAUGAACGCUGGCGGCGUGCCUAAUACAUGCAAGUCGAGCGAACAGACGAGGAGCUUGCUCCUCUGACGUUAGCGGCGGACGGGUGAGUAAAACGUGGAUAACCUACCUAUAAGACUGGGAUAACUUCGGGAAACCGGAGCUAAUACCGGAUAAUAUAUUGAACCGCAUGGUUCAAUAGUGAAAGACGGUUUUGCUGUCACUUAUACAUGGAUCCGCGCCGCAUUAGCUAGUUGGUAAGGUAACGGCUUACCAAGGCAACGAUGCGUAGCCGACCUGAGAGGGUGAUCGGCCACACUGGAACUGAGACACGGUCCAGACUCCUACGGGAGGCAGCAGUAGGGAAUCUUCCGCAAUGGGCGAAAGCCUGACGGAGCAACGCCGCGUGAGUGAUGAAGGUCUUCGGAUCGUAAAACUCUGUUAUUAGGGAAGAACAAAUGUGUAAGUAACUAUGCACGUCUUGACGGUACCUAAUCAGAAAGCCACGGCUAACUACGUG